GAUGAACGCUGGCGGCGUGCUUAACACAUGCAAGUCGAACGAUGAAGCCCAGCUUGCUGGGUGGAUUAGUGGCGAACGGGUGAGUAACACGUGAGUAACCUGCCCUUAACUCUGGGAUAAGCCUGGGAAACUGGGUCUAAUACCGGAUAGGAGCGUCCACCGCAUGGUGGGUGUUGGAAAGAUUUAUCGGUUUUGGAUGGACUCGCGGCCUAUCAGCUUGUUGGUGAGGUAAUGGCUCACCAAGGCGACGACGGGUAGCCGGCCUGAGAGGGUGACCGGCCACACUGGGAAUGAGACACGGACCAGACUCCUACGGGAGGCAGCAGUGGGGAAUAUUGCACAAUGGGCGCAAGCCUGAUGCAGCGACGCCGCGUGAGGGAUGACGGCCUUCGGGUUGUAAACCUCUUUCAGUAGGGAAGAAGCGAAAGUGACGGUACCUGCAGAAGAAGCACCGGCUAACUACGUG
rnacentral:rRNA from 1 species